rnacentral:rRNA from 1 species
CCUACGGGUGGCAGCAGUGAGGAAUAUUGGUCAAUGGGCGGGAGCCUGAACCAGCCAAGCCGCGUGAAGGAAGAAGGCGCCAAGCGUCGUAAACUUCUUUUGUCGGGGAACAAAGGGCGCCACGUGUGGCGUUGUGAGUGUACCCUAAGAAAAAGCAUCGGCUAACUCCGUGCCAGCAGCCGCGGUAAUACGGAGGAUGCGAGCGUUAACCGGAUUUAUUGGGUUUAAAGGGUGCGUAGGCGGUCCGGAAAGUCAAGGGUAAAAAGCCCGGGCUCAACUCCGGGCGGGCCUUUGAAAUGGUCGGACUAGAGAGUGCGAGAGGUAGGCGGAAUGCGAGGUGUAGCGGUGAAAUGCAUAGAUAUCGCGCAGAACACCGAUUGCGAAGGCAGCGUACCGGCGCAGGACUGACGCUGAGGCACGAAAGCGUGGGUAUCGAACAGGAUUAGAUACCCUUGUAGUC